rnacentral:miRNA from 1 species
UUAGCCUUUAAUACUGUAAAAC